rnacentral:rRNA from 1 species
UGUGAAAGCCCCGAGCUUAACUUGGCAACUGCGUUUGAAACUGGAAAUGUUAGAGUCUGUCACAGCGGGGGUAGAAUUCCACGUGUAGCAGUGAAAUGCGUACAGAUGUGGAGGAAAACCAAUGGCGAAGGCAGCCCUCUGGGAUCAGACUGACGCUCAUGCACGAAAGCGAGGGGAGUAAAUAGGAUUAGAUACCCUGCUAGUCCACGCCCUAAACGAUGUCAACUGGUUGUUGGGCAACUUGAUUGUUCAGUAACGAAGCUAACGCGAGAAGUUGACCGUCUGGGGAGUAUGGUCGCAAGAUUAAAACUCAAAGGAAUUGACGGGGACCCGCACAAGCGGUGGAUGAUGUGGAUUAAUUCGAUGCAACGCGAAAAACCUUACCUACCCUUGACAUGUACGGAAGUCUGCUGAGAGGUGGAUGUGCCUGAAAGGGAACCGUAACACAGGUGCUGCAUGGCUGUCGUCAAGCUCGUGUCGUGAGAUGUUGGGUUAAGUCCCGCAACGUAGC